GACGAACGUUGGCGGCGUGCUUAACACAUGCAAGUCGAACGGAAAGGCCCUGCUUUUGUGGGGUGCUCGAGUGGCGAACGGGUGAGUAACACGUGAGUAACCUGCCCUUGACUUUGGGAUAACUUCAGGAAACUGGGGCUAAUACCGGAUAGGAGCUCCUGCUGCAUGGUGGGGGUUGGAAAGUUUCGGCGGUUGGGGAUGGACUCGCGGCUUAUCAGCUUGUUGGUGGGGUAGUGGCUUACCAAGGCUUUGACGGGUAGCCGGCCUGAGAGGGUGACCGGCCACAUUGGGACUGAGAUACGGCCCAGACUCCUACGGGAGGCAGCAGUGGGGAAUAUUGCACAAUGGGCGGAAGCCUGAUGCAGCAACGCCGCGUGCGGGAUGACGGCCUUCGGGUUGUAAACCGCUUUCGCCUGUGACGAAGCGUGAGUGACGGUAAUGAGUAAAGAAGCACCGGCUAACUACGUG
rnacentral:rRNA from 1 species